rnacentral:rRNA from 1 species
ACGCGAUAGGGUGAGUCGGCGGCGGAUUAGGUUGUUGGUGGGGUAACGGCUCACCAAGCCGAAGAUCCAUAGGGGCCUUGAGAGAGGUAGCCCCGAGAAGGACACUGAGACACGGGUCCUAGCCCUACGGGGUGCAGCAGGCGCGAAACCUUUACAAUGCAGGAAACUGUGAUAGGGGGAUCCCAAGUGCUUGCACACAGUGCAGGCUUUUGCCAAGAGUACAAAUCUUGGCGAAUAAGUGGUGGGAAAGACUUGUGCCAGCCGCCGCGGUAACACCAGCGCCACAAGUGGCAAUCGCUUUUAUUGGGCCUAAAGCGUCCGUAGCCGGUUCUAUAAAUUUUCUGUGAAAUCGUUGUACUCAAUAUAACGACGUGCAGAAAAGACUGUAGAACUAGGGACCGGGAGGCGUCAGAGGUAUUCUGGAGGGAGCGGUAAAAUGCUAUAAUCUCCAGAGGACCCCCUGUGGCGAAGGCGUCUGACGAGAACGGAUCCGACGGUGAGGGACGAAAGCCAGGGGAGCGAACCGGAUUAGAUACCCGAGUAGUCCUGGCUGUAAACUCUGCGAGCUAGGUGUUGCAUAUUCUCCGAGAAUAUGCAGUGUCGAAGCGAAGGUGUUAAGCUCGCCGCCUGGGAAGUAUGGUUCGCAAGACUGAAACUUAAAGGAAUGGCGGGGGAGCACUACAAGGGGUGCGGCGUGCGGUUUAAUCUAAUUCAACGCAGAGAAUCUCACCAGAAGCGACGGCAGGAUGAAAGUCAGCCUAAAGGGCUUACUUGACGAGCCGAGAGGUAGUGCAUGGCCGCCGUCAGCUCGUGCCGUGAGGUGUCCUGUUAAGUCAGGUAACGAGCGAGACCCGCACUCACAAUUGCUAGCGACGGGUUUCCGGAUCGAGCACAUCGUGGAGACUGCCUUCGAAAGGAGGAGGAAGGUGCAGGCUACGGUAGGUCUGUAUGCUCUGAAUCUUCUGGGCUACACGCGCGCAACAAUGGUACGGACAAUGGGAUACAACACCGAAAGGAGGAGCUAAACCUCUAAACCCUAUCCCAGUCCAGAUCGAGGCUUGCAACUCAGCCUCGUGACGAUGGAAUCCCUAGUAAUUGGACGUCAACAUCGUCCAGUGAAUUUGUCCCUGCUCCUUGCACACACCGCCCGUCAAACCACUCGAGCAGAUUUUAGGUGAGUCGACAUUUUCUUGAUGUCGCCGAA